AGCUAACUGCCGUUUUUCACACACGAACCCACAGAUAUUGUUGGAACAACAUGGUAUAUUUUGAACUGCCAGUAUUUUGUUUUGCCAGUAUUUUGUUUUGCCAAAGUAUUGGGUCCUUGAAAAUGUAUAGCACCCCAAAAAGCAUGGUUUGCAAAAAGGCCCAGAGUGUUGUAGACUUGCUCGAAGUCUCGCUCAAAUUGGCUUCAUUUUGUAUAGAGUCUAUCCAGAGGUGUCGGCAACAAUGUGAAGCGGCUGGGGUAGUAGGGAUGAGCCGAUAAGGAAUAUUGCCGAUUACUGAGGCCGAUUAUUUAUAAGCCGAUUAUCGUAACUAUAAUCAGCCGAUUAAUCGGUACCUGCCGAUUAUUUUCAAAAGCAAGAGAAAAAUGAGAGGAUGACCAACAAUGAAGUUGUAAAAUAAUGCGGUUUUACACACUGUGUACAAUUAAAAUCAGCUUCAAUCUCGCAUGUCAAUGGUCAAAGUUUAGUUUUGGCAGAUUAUGCAUGGUGUAAAAACAGGAUAUUGCGUUUUUCAGUGGAAAUGUUCCCAUAGCUUCACUGAACAUGCGCUCCGAAUAUACGCUUGAACUUGUGGGCUAAGAUACUUCAGCGCGUUGUUGAAAAAUGAAAAUAUUCGGGUACAUUUUUUUGUUGGAAACCCACCAGGUAUAUAUGGACACGGUUGUAACGGUUGCAAGGGAAGAACGAGAAAUGUGUUGACCUCUUCUUCAAGAUUUGGAACGCCGUCGUCAGAUGUAACUGUCUCUUCGAAACAAGACCAUAUAGAUCUUGACGCGGGUUUUGAGACAAAAAACGUGGGUUUUGCAACAAAAUGUGAAAAUCUAUUUGCUUGUAUUCAGUAUUUUAGCAUGUGCUUGGCAGCUGCAGAAAAAGUCUUAUGGCCGAUUAUCAGGCAAUAAUCGGCCGAUUACCGAUUGUUUAAAAAAUGGCCGAUUAACGGCUUUGCCGAUUAUUUACCAAUUAAUCGGCUCAUCCCUAUGGGGUAGCCAUUUAAAAAGGGCACAUUAAUACUUAUGAGCCCCUACUUAUGAACUUUUGUGGGCAGCAAUGUUUGUUAAAAUUUUGCUGCACAGUUACUUGCUUUCGGCAUUGAUUGGACCAAUUUUAUAUGUUUGUAUAUAGAACAACAGCUUGUCAAUUAUUUAGGACGGCUUUCUUUUUGAUUUUUUGUCAUAUAGUUGGAAUUAGAUGAAUUUCUAAGAUGAAUUUCAGAUUCAAAUUUGAGCUAAAUUACUUGAAAACAGUUCUCCGUUGCAAUUCAUAUGAAUAACACACGCCUUACGAAGUGUACUAGUAGUUCUUGUAAAAAAAUGCAACAUGCUGCCCCAGUGCCCCUGGGCCUAUCCAGCUUGUUAUGAGAUCAGUUUAUCUCAUAAUAACUAUAGAUAGAAAGUGGAUAGACCCAAUUAAAAAUGAGACUGACCUCAUAGCAGAAUGGAUAGACAUUGUCAAAACUGAAGGCAAUUUGAGAGAAACUUGGAACAGAUUUAGUAGUGCUAGGAGCUGAUAAAUCCUCACCCCUGUCUACUUAUUGCUGCCGCAGCGAGCGAGCCUGAAGCGAGCGAGCAAGGCAGCAGAUCCUAAUUUUGUUUUGUGGGUCGAAAUCAAAAUUUUCUAUUUGGCGCAUUGCAUGACGGUACCAGUGAAUUUUAACCGUGGUGCAGCGCGGUCAGGCAUAAGGCAAACAGGCAAUGUGAUCAUCUUUCAUCUUUGGUCUUCUUUUAUGGAAACCCAUAGCUGGCUUAGAGUGAUCAAACAUUCAAACGGCAUUUUGUUGGGUGCUUUUAGCAUUAUACGGCGGUACUUUCGGCAUUAUACACGGUGCUUUCGCCAUUAUACGCGGUGGUUCCAGUAUUAUACGCGGUGCUUUCACCAUUUAUAUACGCGGUGCUUUUGCAAUUAUACGCAGUGGUUCGAGCACUAUAUGCGGUGCUUCUAAUAUUAUACGCGAUGCUAGCUUUCAUUCAACAUUAUUUCCAUAUUCUUUCCAUGACAUGUAUAUGAUUUAACGAUUGCUUAAAUUUGGUAUGUGGUUGACAAAUGCUUUUUGCCUAUGGUCUGCAUGGACAAUGACAUGCUUUUCUGUGUAUAUAAAUUAAUAUAGCGCAGCGAAUGCGCCAAACAGUAUAAACGCGGCUGAAAUACGAUAUUAAAAUCUUAAAUGUGCCGUAUGAUUUAAUUAUGUUUUAGGAUUUACAAAUGCUUUGUCAUUUGUAUUUAUACUUGUACUGCAUCACAAGGCAGUACGUAAGUGAAAAAAUUUGACAUGUGAGAUUGUCUUGUAUACAUUUUUGCUUUCUUUGAUAAACAUUAUUAAACACGCAAACUUUAAUUAGUGAGACUCAAUGUUAAAUGUCACCUGCAUGUCAUUGUCAUUGCCCUUUAACCCCUGGUCUAAUUGGCCGCUUUUGAAAAUGUUGAUCAUGACGAACCGCACUUAAUUAUGCAAACUUUGUGUUUUAAAAACGGGUUAGGAUAAAACGCGGAUACGGACGGACGGAUGAAUGACGGACGGACGGAUGGCGACGGACGGACCGGACGGAUGACAUAUAUAUGUCGUUAUAUAGUCUGCGCGCAGCCGCGCAGGGUAGUUAGUGGCUUACGUCUUCGCUGGUUGUUAUACUUUAAAAUAAUUUUGUAUAUACCGAGAAAUCAAUAUUCCGAGUAUAUAAAUAUAUAAACUGGGAUGUCACACUGAUAGCUUGUUUACAUUUCCUGGAGCAUCAAAUCUUAUGUUUAUAAACCACAGCGGUUUAACCCAUUAGCUGGCAAUGCGCCCUUCCCUUGUCCAACGCCAGAAGAUUUUACUCGUCAGUGUUAUAGGGUACUGCCAGUAAAUGGGUUAACAAACCUAUCUGCCAAUGGCUCUUGUUAAUUCAUCAACACAGUAAUGACCCCUACUUUAGUAGUUACCCUGUCCAACGCCAGACGAUUUUUAAUACUCAGUCAGUGGUAGGAUGUUUCUGAAGAACUCGUUCAACACCCUGUAGUUUGUCUUUUGCUGUCAAAGGCAGCAUUACUGCCCUGUGGGUAACCUAGUUUUAAAUAUAUUUCACUGUUAAUUAGCUUCGGUUCGAAAACCGCUCCAAUAGACCUUUCCCCUUAUGAGUGAAAUUUUGAUCUAGAUAUGCCUGGACAAAAAUUUCAUCACAGCUUGAAAGAGCAUCACAAAAUUAGUAAUAUUCCGAAGUUUCGUUGGGAAAUGGUGUAAAAUGCGGAUAAUAUAGCCUUGCGAAGUUUGCAAUUUUCAGUCAUUUUGUAUUACAAAUGGGAAAUUGAUAUCAGUUUGAUCAUCUGAUUAUCAAUUUCCCGUGCGUAAUACAAAAUUACUGAAAAAACGGCAAACUUCGCAAGGCUAUAUUAUCCGCAUUUUACAACAUUUCGCAACGAAACUUCGGAAUAUUACUAAUUUUGUGAUGCUCUUUCGAGCUGUGAUCUUUUUGUCCAGACUUGUCUAGAUCAAAAUUUCACUCAAAAGGGGAAAGCUCUAUUGAUCAUGUGCAAACCUAAUUAGGUGCACAAGUUAGGUGCAGGGCCGUACCUAUUUGAGUGGGGGGAGGGGCGAACAGGGGCAACUGCCCUUCCAGAGAAAAUUCAACUUAUGAAUUUAUAAUGUUAAUAUUGCGUAUUGUUCAGCUAUUCGGGUUCCUUAGAUGUCUCAGGAUAACAAUAGAGAGUUUACGAUUCGCGACAAAGAAACACGUCAUGCGAGACAAAAGGAUGAAUAAAUUGUAAAUUCAAAUGUUUUGUCAACAGCGUUGCUAUUCUUGGGACACCGUCAAACGAGUAAUUUUCACGGCUUCCUCGCGAUAUCAAAGCUCGUUGCGACAUGGGAGCUGUUUUAUAACGUUGAUAAAAUCGUUGUAUUAUUAAAACAUCCUUUAGACAAUUACAUGUAAAGCAGCAUAGUUAAAUUCCUGUGGCAUAUUUCAAGCAUAAUUUGACUCGACGUCGUCGAGCUGACCCCGUCGUACAUCGUAAACUCCCUAAUGAAUGAAUCAGUUAGGUGUAGCAGAUUUAGCACAACCUAUCUCAUUGGUAGAUCAACAUUUUACAACCCUGAAUCACUGCCGUCCCUGUGUUAUUUCAGUGUUGCAUCAGUACUACAACAACUAAAUCCAAUUUGCCCUGGAUCUGAUGCAAAUUUUAGAGUCUUUACUCCUCGCUGACUCGAACAAUUUCCUUGGUCAAAUUUACCGGGUUUAACCCGAACUGUAUUUUGAGACGUGGAUCAGCAAACCUCAAAUUAUCCGAACAUAGCACAUUGACAAGUCAGAAGCAUGGAUUUCUAUUCGGACAACUGACAACAACAAUUUAAUCUGUAUAUAAUAUAUGAAGAGAUAAAAGAUUCAAUAAGUUGCGUCGAUCAUUACUGAUCUAGCUAUAGGUACUGUUGGUACUGUAGGUACUCUACUGUUAAACACUGUCAUAGGGAUUGUUUAAUUUAACUUAUGGAACAGUCAGUAGUGCAAACUGUGUAAGUUCUUUAUUAAGAGUGCACCGUAAUGGCUCACAAUUGUGAUGACCCGUAUAAAACGACUAUACCUUAUUACUUGAUACUAUCUAAAACACGCAUAGGAGUGUUUUUUUCAUAUUUUAAAUGCGAGUGCGUAGCACGAGCAUUUUAGAUAUGUUAACACACUCCUACGCAUGUUUUGAAUCAACCUCGUUACCCAGGCUCUUUCCACUACGCGCCUCGCUGGAGGUAGUGGAAAGUAGUGGAAAGAGCCUGGGUACAAGGUUGGUUUUGAAUAGCUUCAAACACGACUACAAUAGAUGCCGUCUCAUUAGUCAGUAUUCUUUAUAUAAAGAAUACUAAUUAGGAUGGAGUUUUAUAUAUUAUUUUAUUAUUAUUAUUAUUAUUAAAUUGAAACCACAUUGCAGCCAGAAGCUGAAUUGCGUGGAUUACAUAUUAUCACAUGCACUACAUAUAAAUAUAUUAUUAAUACAAUAUUAUAAAAACCCACCCACGAUCAAAAUUCGAUUAAAAUAAGCAUAAAAUCUAUCCUACAAACUUCCUACACAUAGCAGGGAUAAAAGAGUUAUAAAAGCGGUUCGUGCGUGUAACGUACAUAUUAAAAUACCGAUUCGUCCUGAAAGAAUAAUCAGUCUCGUUCUUCGGGGGCAGCAGAUGAUGAAGUUUAUGCAUUGGAUCCUUGAUGAUACUCGUAAAGAGUUUGUCACACAUGUCCUCUCUUCUUUGAAAUAUAGUAGGCAGUCUAAAAUACUCAAGGGCCUCACAAUAUGUCAUUUCAGGAGAUAAAAUUUUUAGCACACGUUUCUGGACAGUCUCAAGUUCGUCUGCCAAAUACUUUGGGAUGGAAUGAUGGAAGGCUUGCGCACAAUACUCGAGCACAGGCCUGAUCACUGUACAAUAAAAGUUCAAGACAUCAUUGACAUUUACGCUUGCCCGUUUCAAUAGUACUAUAAAAUAGAGGCGUUUAUUAGCUUUCUUUAUACUCUCUCUGAUGUUAUCUUUCCACUGAAGUGUGCCUGUCGUAACAAGACCCAAUAUUUUUGCACUCUCAACUAUGGGCAAUGCUUCUCCACCCACCAGUACAGGAUCAAAAUGUUGUUUAAUUCUUUUAAAAUCGAUUCUCAGUUCUUUACAUUUCUCAGUGUUAAGAGAUAGCCCAUUUGCCUUCGACCAAUCUUCCACAACAUCAACUGCGACUUGAACACGGCUCUCUGUGUCCUUACUAACUACUUCAGCAACUGUUGUGUCAUCAACAAACUUCCACCUCGAUAUAUUACAAAUAUCAAGAUCGUUUAUCAUUAAACAAAAUAGCCAGGGCCCUAAUUUUGUACCUUGAGGGAUACCGGAAAGUACAUCUCCCCACUCCGAAUAACAGUCAUUGGAUAAUUUCACUCUCUGCUUUCGAUUCAUCAAAAAAUCGAUUGUCCAGCGAGCAACCGCACGUGGAAUAGCUAAAUUGGAAAUUUUAUCAGCCAGUAAAGCAUGAUCGAUAAGGUCGAAUGCUUUUCUAUAAUCGAACAGGAUGACUCUGACAGCAGAGCCAGUGCCAUCAGUAACUUGCGACCAUUCAUGGAUCAUAGAUAUAACAGCGAGAGUAGUUGAACUUCUUGGUAUUACUCCAUAUUGACUUGGAUCGAUUAUACUCAUGAUAGCUGGAGCAAUGUAUUUUUUAACAACACAGUCCUCGGCAAUUUUCGAAAUAGCGGCAGUAAGUGAAAUUGGUCGUAACUGCUUACAAAUGUCGCUAACGGGCUUAGUUUUUAUGAGGGGCACAAUGUUGGCAAGCUUCCAAGAUUUAGGUAGUUGUUGUUCGGCAUAGCUGCUGUUUAGCACAGCGCAUACUGGCUGUGCAAGGAUUUCAGCAUAUUCCUUAAGAGCCCAAUUGGGAAUUUCGUCAGGACCUGACGCCUUUCCACGAUUAAUUGCUUUCAGUAAAUGAAAGACUUCCAAUUCGUUCACUUGAAAAGAGGAAUAAUUAUCAAAGGGGGGAAGGGUUGACAGUGGAUUGAAGGAGUUCAUGGGCUCCAAAAAGGCGUUAUUAAUUAAAUUCGCAAUGUCAGGACGUUGCAUAUUCUCAAUAUCGUCUAAAUGAAGUUGACUGCAUAGGUCAUCGGAGCCGGUUGUAGGUACCAUACCAGCAAUCUACUUCACCUCCUUCCACCAUCUCUUCGGUUUGGUCGAUUUAAGAUUCUUUACUUUUGAAGAGUAGAAUUUCGCCCGGCAUGUCUUUCGCUCGCGGUUAACCCGAUUCCGGUAAUACUUGAACUGAAAGGUAUUUCCACUGCAGAAGGCAGCUUGACGCUUCCUUAUAAGCUCUUUAAAUUCUGCAGUAAUCCAUGGAGGAUCGUGUACAUGCAAAGCCGUUUUCUUUAUUGGCAUAAUGGUGCUAAUACCGAGACGUACUAACUCUUCGAAAUACUGGAGUUUCAUUUCGCAUGUGUCAAAAUGAUUCAGAGAGGACCAAUCGAUAGAUGUAAGGUAUCUUCCAAGCUCAUGCCUUUUACUAGAUCGUAAAUCUCUACUAGAGAUAAUUCUUCUACUGCAUGACUUGGGUUCUCUUUUGCAAGGAUUGACAAUCACAACAUUAUGAUCUGAAAGACCAAAUGGCGGAAAUUUUUCGACAGAGUUCUUAUCAUAAAACGAAUGUAAGUUGGUUAUUAUUAGAUCCAAAGUCUGGUUGGCCCUUGUGGAAACGUUAACAAUCUGUUUGCAACUGAACUGUGUUAAUAUCCGAUUGCAUUUUAACCGAUUAAAGUCGCCUGCAAGAAUAAACCCACAGCCAGGAUAAGUGCUUUCAAUAGUAAUCAGUGAUGUGGAGAGAAAUUGGAGCAUUUCAUCAUCAUUAGCAUUAGGUGGAUGGUAAACGACACCAAGUAUCAAGCAGGAAAACCCGCGGGGAAGUCUACUUGGACGAACAUAGACCCACAGAACUUCGUAAUCUAUAUGGUGGAGAUGAUUCAGAGGCUUAUAAAAUAUCGUGUUCCUGAUGUACACCCCAACCCCUCCGUGGGAGCCCACACUGCGGUUUUUAUGAACAAAAUUGUAACCUGGAAUAUCGAGGCAGGAAUCUGAGAUACGGUCAUUUAGCCAUGUUUCCGUUAUAUAUAGUAUUCCGUUGUAUAAAGAAUACUAAUAAAGAUUUAUCAGGUAUAAAGCCUCUUCAGUCUUCACGUGACAUAUUACGGUUGACAUGAUUUGCCAAUAAGCUUAUGAAUUGUUAAUUAACAUAAUAAAUAAAAUGUAACACCGAUGCCGUUAACUCAAAUCCCCGCUAAAUGUCCAAACACAUGCACCGGACGCGAUUCGACAACGCGACGUGAUUGUUUAGUUUUUGAAAGUUAAUAAAACAGCCAAUGAGAGCAAAUUUUAAAAUAUAUGUAGACCAAAUAACUCAAAAUGUUAUAACGCUUCUAAAUAUUUGGAAAAUUUAAACUAGGAUCAAAGUUAUCGGUCAGUGAUCGAAAAAUCGCGUCAGUCGCGUUGUCGAAUCGCGUCCGAUGUGUCUGGACCUUGCCUCGAACAAAUUUUCGCUUCCCUUGGAAGUUUGAAUUACAUGUAGCAGCUAUUGUUCCACUGUAAAAUUAAUUUUGGCACGAAUUUUGUCACUGUAAAAUUAAUUUUGACACGAGUGGACGGCUGCAUUUGAAAUGAAUCCUUUGCGUAACAAGUACCCCUAAAUACAAUUGACCAUUUGCGUAAUAGACUAAAUUUUGAUCUCAACAAAAAUUUCAUUACAGCUUGAAAGAGCAUCCAAAGUUUCGUUGCAAAAUGUUGUAAAAUGCGGAAAAUAUAGCCUGCGAAAUUUGCAAUUUUCAGUCAUUUUAGAUUACAAACCGGAAAUUGACAGCCUCGAAGGGUUUGGGGCUGUCAAUUUCCCGUUUGUAAUCUAAAAUGACUGAAAAUUGCAAAUUUCGCAAGGCUAUAUUUUCCGCAUUUUACAACAUCUCGCAACGAAACUUUGGAAUAUUACUAAUUUUGUGAUGCUCCUUCAAGCUGUGAUGAAUUUUUUGUCUGUUACGCAAAUGGUCAAUUGUUUUGCCUUUUUUUUUACUAAUUAUAGCAAAAGCGCAGUCAUCAUCAAGUACUUCUAAAAGUGAACCGAAACUCGGUGUUUGGCUGGCUAGAUGGGAGAAGAAACGAAAAUAUCAGCAAGGCAAUAAGGGGUCUGAGGAUGGCAAGGAAACGAACAUAGCUAACGAAGAUGAUACACAAACAUUUACAUUGCCAGCGAAUCUUCCACCAUUGCCUCAAUUACCUCCCUCUAUGUUACCACCUCCCCUAGGGGGAUACCCAAAGUUACCAAAAGUUGAGUGGGGCUAGAAGUGAUUGCAUGCAUUGUUUGAUCACCAAAUAUGCGAAAGAAAGCCACUUUUUAAGUUAAAACUAAGUUAAACUAUACUUUAGUUGA